rnacentral:rRNA from 1 species
UACGUAGGGCGCAAGCGUUGUCCGGAAUUAUUGGGCGUAAAGAGCUCGUAGGCGGUUUGUCACGUCGGCUGUGAAAACCCGAGGCUCAACCUCGGGCCUGCAGUCGAUACGGGCAGACUAGAGUGCUGUAGGGGAGACUGGAAUUCCUGGUGUAGCGGUGAAAUGCGCAGAUAUCGGGAGGAACACCGGUGGCGAAGGCGGCUCUCUGGACCUGUCCUGACGCUCAGGCGCGAAAGCUAGGGGAGCGAACAGG